CCCACAGGGUACUUGAAGGUUCCAUGUCAGGAAGUAUUUCUCUUACUUUAGAGCCCUCCGUGUAUUAAAAUAUCUAUUCUGUUGCUACCAGGGGUGCAUAUAAGGGUUCCUGAGUGUAUUUUAAAGAAAAAGGGCUUCCUUUUUUCAAAACUGUGUCUGUUACAAAAGGCUCUGUUAAGGUGGAAAAAUAUUUUGUCAUAAAGCAGAAGUGUGAAAGAAAACCCAGCAGUGACAAUAAUCACAACUCUAUGUGCGCGUAUACUGAAGAAGUUCACCUGCCUGACAUUAACCUAUUGUUGACUUCUCGGUUUUAGUAUUUGGAGGUUGACCUGGACUUAGCUGUGCUAAGCUGCCUGCUCCACAGGAAAUCACCUCCCUUGCUGCUGCUUGCUGCUUUCUCUUUAGCCAACACCCAAAGCCACUGCCAAUGUCAGGGAGAUGAGACUUCACAAGAAUUCAGCUGUGAAUCCACCAGGACCUGGGUAUUUCUUUGUUGAAAGAAACAAGUCUUACAUAACCAAGCCUUCGCUCAGUAGAAGAGGAAAGAAAGAGUAAAGGGAUUUUGAAAUUUAGAGCUCAAAAGUGAAGCUGAGACUACGGGACUUCUAUCUGGCAUUUCUUUAUCUGGCAUUUCUGUUGACUUAUCCGUGAAGAUUGCUGCUUAAAAAAACCUGUGAUCAGGAACAAAUUGUGAGUCUUCUUAGUGUACAGUAGCAGCCUGAGAAGUGUAACAUGUAAGCGCCAUCCUUGAGUGGCUUUUGUGUAAAGAUCAGUUAAUGUGAAGCUGCUCUUUGUCUAGGCUAUUUACUGACAUUCAUUUUAAGGCCAGCAAUUUGCAACCAGAAAUAUUGAGAAGGUGAGUGAAGAAUGCAAAUCAACAGAGUGUGCUGAGACGUUUUCCAACAAGCAGCGGCAACAUGUCCUCGGUCCUGUGCUCAUCUAACCUCAACCCAUCUGCAGCAGCAAAACCUGCCCUUCAAAGUGCAACGCAUUGCCUGCCAUGAAUGCCAUCGGCUAUUGUCUAUGGCUGCAGAAUGACAACCGUGUGCAGUACAGAGAAAGCGUGGUAUUGUACCAAAGUAACACAUUUCUAUUCAAGUGCUAUUCGUUUAUAGAGAAGCACUGCAAUUAGAAGAAAACCUUGGAGAUGUUCUUUUUCUUGUGUUUAAUAGAGUUCUUGAUUGUGCUUUUUGAUUGAGUGCUUUUAUUGAUUCAACAAUAUUAACCUCGUUGUGUAAAGUAUCCACAUGCAUGAGAAAAAUCUGAUCGUUAUCUUGUAAUGAGAUGUAAGAGCGAUUCUCCACCAUUUCCUUAUUGGGUUGAUUCGGAAGCCAGUACAUUUGGCUUAGCGUUGACUUCAUUUCCCGUAGCUGUGUCCGGAAACAGCGGCUCUUAAGCUGAUCCUCAGUUAUGAACCACUGGAGAUUCUCGGGCUCUUGCACAUAACAGAACAACAAAUGUUAAGAAGAGAAGGAAGGACAAGUUGAAGGGAAAUGGCACAAGAUGAAAAUCAGCAAUUGCUUUUUGUGCAUAAUAGUAUCUGGUCUGUUUUACUUGCAGUUGGAAUAAAAUUAUGACGAAGUCAAUGACUACCCCUCCCACCCAGAUGUUCACUAUCAUAUUCUAGUGGAGGACACACAGCUUGGGCAUAUUUCAGAUAUUCAGAUGUGAUUUAAUCAGCGAGUUUGGUAAUAAAAUUGAGACCCUCUGGGAAUGGUAGGGACAAUUUGAUAGGGUGACAUGUUAGAAAAUUGUUUCACAAUAAAAAAAGAAGCAGGAAUUUUGAGAGCUCAGGGAAGCAGCAUAUUCAGUCUCGGAAAAAGUGGCUAAAGUGCUGAGCCCACUGCACAGCUACAUGCAAAAAAUAAAAUGAAUCUAAAUACGAGUCAUACACACUUCACAUAAAAUUAGUGCAAAAUGAAUCAUUGAUCUAAAUGUUAAACCAAAACUAGGAAACUCCUAGACUAUAGCAAAGGAGAAAAUUUAAAGAAUGUUGAGUAUGGGAAUGAUUUUAUAUAUAUAUAUACCAUGGGACCUUUCCUGGAAUGGCCAAAAUCCUAAAUAUGGACAAGCAAGGCCAGGACCAUGUAGAGCAACAGAAACUCUCCUUGACGCUGGAAGGAAUGCAGAACGGCACAGCUGAUUUGGAAAGUGUUUGGCAGUUUCUCAUAAAAUGAACCAUAUUCUUAUCACACAAACCAGCAGUCAUGCUCCUUGGUAUUACCGAAUGAAUUAAAAAUUUAUCUCCACAGAAAAAUUUAUACCUGGUGAUUACAGCAAUGUGAUUUCACUACUGCUGACACUUAGAAGGAAUCAUGUGUGAUAUCCUUUAGUAAGUGGAAUGGAUGAACAAGUUGUGCUAGCGCCAAACAAUAAAAAUAUCAUUCAUCACUUUUAAAAAAAUGAACCAUCAAGGCAGAAAGCCUGUGGGAGAAACUUAAAUGAAAAGUGUCAGAAGCCAAUGUUAAGGGCUAUGUACUAUCCAUGGUUUUGCCUUUUCCAGGAUGUCACGUAGUUGUGGGACAUUGUGGAAAGGGACAGUAUUGCCAGAAGUAAGGGGGAUGGAGGGACAGGUGAGUAGUAAGCAAAGGACAUUAGGGCAGUGAAACUGUUCUUGUGAUACUACAAUGGCGGGUACAGGUCAAAACACUUGUCAAAAAUCAGAACUUAAGCACACCAAGAGUGAACUCUCAUGUCAACGAUGGCCUUCCAAGGGCGAUGCUGUCACUCUAGGUUCAUCGGUUGUAACAAAUGUGCCGCCAUGUUGCAGGGUGUUGGUAAUGGGGGAUACUGUGGGAAAUCUCUGUACCUUCUACUCAGAUUUUGCUGGGAAAACAAAAGUGCUCUAAAAAUAACCUAUUGAAAAAUGACUGAGGAUUUUUAAAGAAUGAGACCAGUAUCUUAAGACAUCUGGUAAGCUAUGAGUUGAUGCCUAUCCUCCUCCACUACCUAAGACCCCCUGCCAAAGGCUGCUUUGUGUGUCCUCUCAUUAGUGGUGAUUUGGGAGAGUAAAGAGCUUGGGACAGUGGCAGGCAUGUAGUAUGGAAAAGGCAUGUAGUAUGGAAAGGCUUCAUUCAUUCAGGAAAAAUCAGGGCACAGCCAGAGUACCUGUCAGAAGCAGCUGUUAGCUGGAUGUUAUUGGCCUCUCCCCAAAGACACUAAUGAUGCUAAUUGUUGGAGGUUGCAUUUGGGGCACUGGGUGGAUAGUGGGUACAGAAUUAUUCCAUAUUUGCACAAAGGACCUGUUUUAAUUUGCAUUUUGUAGUGCCUCUGUUUGAAUAGAUGGAGGAUAAUGUACUGAAGAAAUAGUGUUAGGCAGAUAAUAGAUACUGUGUAGAGUUGUUAAGUGGAUGGAGAGAAAAUGUAAGAGACAAAGUUGACACCAGAUGGAUAAGGAUAAAAGUAGUAACUAUAACCACUACACGAAAACGUUUAAUUUCAUUUUUUGAAAGUGCCAAAGUCAUUUUAUAAGGACCUAAAAGUGAGCAGAUUUUAAGCUAAUGUGUAUAGAUACAUCUUCAGAUUUUUAAAGGAAAAUGGAAAGAUUUUUUAAAAAUUCUAAACUGUGACAUAAGGAAAUCUCAUAGUUCAGUCAACUAGAAGGGAGACAAAAUAGUGUCCAGGCAUUUCUUAAUUGGAGAUUUCUUUUCCUCAGCCCAGAAAGAAAAUUUCCAUCUGUUCUAGCAUCUGCUGACUGUAGUUCAAGUAUUUCUCCAAUUUAACAAGUAGGUGUGUCGAUUGUGACAUCUGGGGAUUGUGAUAAGGAAACACACACAAGAAAAUCAAGAUGAUUGCUGAUGAGUUUCAUCACCUUUGCAUAGCCUUCUUAUGUACGUAUAAUCAAAGUAACUGAUCACAGAGCACUUUUAUACUCUUAAAACACAAGCUUUGCAUCAGUGCAAUAUUAGAACUGUAUUUUUUCCUAUUCUAUUUACCAUGAGAAGACCCGAAAGAGAUUUGCCCAUGUUAUGUUCACCAAAGCUUUGGAAAUGUGACUCCUAGGUCUGUUUAUGCCUUUGCAUGACUUUCCACAUUUCUUUUUGACUCAGUUUGUCCACUGGUAAAAAGUCCAAUUCAAAUCCCUCUCUGUUCCAAAUACACUGGAAUGUUGAGAAAGGAAAUCUACUAGAAAUAUGUGCUAUGAAUACAAAUAAACAGCAUUGCAUUUAUGAGUUUUACCAUUUCUUGGAAGCUUUGGAUUCUGAAAGUUUUAAUUUCUUGCUCUCAUUUGAAGAAAAAUGUCUUUAAAAAUGUAGCCAUUGGGAUUAUGGCUGGAAUGUGUAAACUUAUCACCCUUUGAAAAUCUCUUUUAACAUGUUUGUUAAUGUUCACAUUUUUUAUUUGUCUUUGUAGGACACAGUGUCUCCAGUAUUUUAUCAUACUUUUCAAUUAGCAUCAGGCACUCAGUGAAGCAAAAGUUUUUGUGCAGUCAUUUUCUUUCUAUCUUUCACAUUUGGAGGUUGAAAAAGUAAAGGUAAUGAUGUUUAUAGCUAUUUGGCCAUGUGCCCAAAGCAGUGUUGCUUAGUCUUCUGUUUCUAAAGUAUACUCUAAUUCUAUUUUUGUUUGAAGUUAUUUCCUAUAGUCACAGAGCAGAAAUCACCCUGAUGUUCCUGUCGAGGGUGGCUCCAAGAUGAUCUGAAAAUUCUGUGUCUUUCAUUGGUGAACUGAUUUUCCGAUUGAACCAGAAAUAUACCUUUUAGCCUGGAAAGCUGUUGGUUUCAGAUCAUUCAGGAUCACUUUGUGUGAAAGGGACUUUCUGGUCCAUUUCUUCCUCUUUUGAUUUGGUUGGAAUUCUAUAAGCUAAUCCAACCCUAACCCUAACCCUAACCCUAAGUGAGGAAUUGAAGAAUCUGAUGUAGACUUGCCUAAUGUCAUAAAAGGCAAGUCUUAUUUGAAGCUAAUUCUUUCUCUAGUUACCAGAUCAAAGUGUAAGUGUUCUUUCACAUUCUCUCGAGAAGAAAAGAAUAUCAGAAUCUUUUAUCCUUCAGUGGACCUCUUUUUCAACUUGCUAGCAUCAUGUAUUUACUAGUUCAUACCCAUUUAUAGCUUUAGUAUUAAGUAUAUUGAGUCAAAAAGGAGAAUGACACACACACACACACACACACACACACACAGAAAAUAUAUGAAGAGAUAUCAAACUGCAGUUUCAGUAGAUAAACAAAUCUAGACAAUAAUGAAAUACCAUUUUAUACAAAAUAGGCUAGCAAAGAUUAAGCAGUCUCUCAAUGCCAAGUGUGGGUGAGGAUUUGGAUCAACUGGACAUCUUUUUUAUUGCUGGAAGGAAUAUAAAUGGGUUCAACCACUUUUAAGAUAAUUUUGUAUCUUAUGUACUAGAGCAGCUGAAGAUCAAGAAUUUUACAUCUUUAUGCAUGUGUGAUCACGCGUAUCAGGAAGCAUGUGCAUGUGUUUAUAACAGCCUUACACUGCAAACAACUCCACUCCCUGAAUAAACCCAUGAUGGUAAUGAUAUGA